rnacentral:rRNA from 1 species
UGGGGAAUUUUGGACAAUGGGGGAAACCCUGAUCCAGCCAUCCCGCGUGUGCGAUGAAGGCCUUCGGGUUGUAAAGCACUUUUGGCAGGAAAGAAACGUCGCGGGUUAAUACCCCGCGAAACUGACGGUACCUGCAGAAUAAGCACCGGCUAACUACGUGCCAGCAGCCGCGGUAAUACGUAGGGUGCAAGCGUUAAUCGGAAUUACUGGGCGUAAAGCGUGCGCAGGCGGUUCGGAAAGAAAGAUGUGAAAUCCCAGAGCUUAACUUUGGAACUGCAUUUUUAACUACCGGGCUAGAGUGUGUCAGAGGGAGGUGGAAUUCCGCGUGUAGCAGUGAAAUGCGUAGAUAUGCGGAGGAACACCGAUGGCGAAGGCAGCCUCCUGGGACAACACUGACGCUCAUGCACGAAAGCGUGGGGAGCAAACAGGAUUAGAUACCCUGGUAGUCCACGCCCUAAAACGAUGUCAACUAGCUGUUGGGGGCCUUCGGGCCUUGGUAGCGCAGCUAACGCGUGAAGUUGACCGCCUGGGGGAGUACGGUCGCAAGAUUAAAAACUCAAAGGAAUUGACGGGGGUCGAUAGC